UUUUGUUUCAGGAGCAGUUCAGGAUCUGAUAGACUCAGGUAGAGUAAUUCAGUUACAUGAAAAACCAUAUAUGAUCAAUCCACUGAGCGUAGCAGAAAACCACGAAAAGAAAAGGCUUAUUUUAGAUCUUAGUUUCUUGAAUAAUUUCGUACGGAAAGAAAAAGUAAAAUUUGAAGAUUGGAAAAUCGCUAUACAAUAUUUCAAAAUAAACUGUUUUAUGACAAAAUUUGAUUUGCAGUCGGGAUAUCAUCACAUAGAUAUCGAUCCUUGUUUUCAGCAAUAUUUAGGUUUUUCAUGGAAGGGUAAUUAUUUUUGUUUCACUGUCUUACCAUUUGGUCUAACUUCAGCUCCAUAUGUUUUUACAAAGUGUUUGAGGCCAUUAGUAAAAUAUUGGAGAAAAAACAAUUUAAAAGUAGUUCUAUACCUGGAUGACGGUCUUAUUCUGGCUAUGUCCGAGGCAAAAUGUAUUUCAGCAACAGGAUUUAUUAAACAGUCUUUAGUUUCAGCAGGUUUUUUCAUAAACGAGAAGAAAUCAAUUUUCAGCCCUGUACAAGAAAUUGAAUGGCUUGGACUGGUAUGGAGAUCUUUAGAUUUUAGUUUACGAGUACCAGAAUGGAGAAUAGUAGACUUAGAAAAUUGUUUAGAAAGACUUUUGAAUGCAUUGCCUAAUGUUUCUGCAAGAAUUGUAGCACAGUUUACGUGAAAAAUUAUUUCAAUGUUACCGGUUAUGGGAAAUGUUGUUAGACUCAUGAGUCGUGCUUGCCACGUUGCUAUAGAGAAUAGGGUUUCUUGGGAUAAAAAGUUAGAUCAUGUUAUCUUAGAUUCAAUAUUACCUGAAAUGUAUUUUUGGAAAAAGAACGUUAGAUCUUAUAACUGCAAAAGCCUUCAGAAUUAUUCAAGAAAGCAUGUCAUGAUUUUUUCAGACGCUAGUGAUGUUGCUGGAGCAGCACAUACAGUAGUGUUGGAUCAAAAGGUUUUUCACAUUGGAUGGAGCGAGUUUGAAAAAGAAAAGAGUUCUACAUGGAGAGAAUUAAAGGCUAUAGAGCUUGGUUUAUUAUCGUUUCACAAAGUUCUUUGUGGAAAAACUGUGAAAUGGUUUACUGAUAAUCAAAACUGUGUAAAAAUCAUUGAAAGUGGGAGUAUGAAAAGUGAUUUACAAGAAAUUUCAUUGGGCAUUUUUCAAAUUUGUCUGUCUAACGGUAUUUCAAUCGACGCUCAAUGGAUACCCAGAAAUAAAAAAAGCAGAUUAUUUAAGCAAAAUUAUUGAUUACGAAGACUGGGGGAUAACAGAUGAGUUUUUUGAAUUGAUGACCAGUAUUUGGGGUCCAUUUGAUAUUGACCGGUUUGCGAAUUUUAAAAAUACCAAGUUAGAACGAUUCAAUUCGUUAUUUUGGAAUCCUGGUACAGAGGGUGUAGACUGUUUUAGUUUUUCAUGGGAAAGGGAUAACAAUUGGCUAGUACCCCCCAUUUCAUUGAUUGGUAAAUGCAUUUUACAUUUGAUUGGAACUAAAUCGAGAGGUACUAUCAUUGUUCCACAUUGGCCCUCUUCUUAUUUCUGGCCUUUGAUUUUUGACGAGUAUAAUGAAACCAUGCCCGUUGUAAAGGAGGUUUUAGAGUUUCGUGAAGGUUACAGAAUUUUUAAACAAGGAGAUAAUAAGAAUUCUAUUUUUGGUUCUCUGGAUUUUUAUUCAAAAGUUUUGACAAUCAGAUUAGAUGCAAGAAUGUGAAAUGGGACCUGAUGUGCAAGGGCACAUUGCAGAAGGUUUAACAUAUUAUUGGUCCUGGUGCAUGCGGUGCAUUGCAGAUGUUUUUAUAAACGUAUAUAUUGUAUGAUUAGUUGUCAAGAGAGAUUUAUUGGAAGAUACGUUAAUCUUAUAAGUGGUAUCGGGUCCUGAUAUGCUAGAGGCAUAUUGCAGAAGUUUUAUAUGAAUAACAUUAUAUACGGAGGUCAUGAAUAAUGAAAUGUGUGUAUAUUUCGAUGCAUAUACAUGUAGGUAGUGAUAUUUUUUUUAUAGAUGUUUUCAAUUACGCGUUUUACAGAUAUAUUCCGCAAGGGAAGGUGGGCAGAAAACAGAUCGUACGACAACCCAGAGCUGAAUAGACUAUCUGCCCUACUACCGGAGUACUGUCUAAAAGGAAAGGCAGAAAAUACCAGAAAGAAAUAUAAUUUGAUGAAUGUAUAUGGAUGGAGGUAUAAGGGUACAUGAUGGUACAUGAGAAUACAUGAUGGUACAUGAGGGUACAUGAGGAUUGAUAAUGUAUAUUAUAAUGUGUGAAUAAAUCUGAGUGCUUCGCCUCCUAUCCUAUAAAUAA